AACGAACGCUGGCGGCAGGCUUAACACAUGCAAGUCGAACGCAUCCUUCGGGGUGAGUGGCAGACGGGUGAGUAACGCGUGGGAACGUGCCCUUCAGUUCGGGAUAACCCAGGGAAACUUGGGCUAAUACCGGAUACGUGUGAGAGCAGAAAGAUUUAUCGCUGAAGGAUCGGCCCGCGUCGGAUUAGCUAGUUGGGGGGGUAAUGGCCCACGAAGGCGACGUUAGGUAGCCGGUCUGGGAGGAUGAUCACCCACAUUGGGACUGAGACACGGCCCAAACUCCUACGGGAGGCAGCAGUGGGGAAUAUUGGACAAUGGGCGCAAGCCUGAUCCAGCCAUGCCGCGUGAGUGAUGAAGGCCUUAGGGUUGUAAAGCUCUUUCGUCCGGGACGAUAAUGACGGUACCGGAAGAAGAAGCCCCGGCUAACUUCGUGCCAGCAGCCGCCGUAA
rnacentral:rRNA from 1 species